rnacentral:tRNA from 1 species
GGCGGGGUAGAGCAGCCUGGUAGCUCGCAAGGCUCAUAACCUUGAAGUCACAGGUUCAAAUCCUGUCCCCGCACUAGCGUUUU